rnacentral:rRNA from 1 species
AUUGAACGCUGGCGGCAGGCCUAACACAUGCAAGUCGAGCGCGCGGCGCACGGGUGAGGAAUGUCUGGGAAACUGUCUGCUGGAGGGGGAUAACUAUUGGAAACGGUAUCUCAUAUCGCACACAAUCAGAUGUGCCCCGGUGGGAUUAGCUCGUAGGUGGGGUAACGGCUCACCCAGGCGACGAUCCCUAGCUGGUCUGAGAGGAUGAUCAGCAACACUGGGACGGAGACACGGUCCAGACUCCGACGGGAGGCAGCAGUGGGGAAUAUUGCACAAUGGGCGCAAGCCUGAUGCAGCCAUGCCGCGUGUGUGAAGAAGGCCUGCGGGUUGUAAAGCACUUUCAGCGGGGAGGCGUUACCCGAAGAAGAAGCACCGGCUAACUCCGUGCCAGCAGCCGCGGUAAUUC